AAUGCCAGCUUCAGCGGCAUCUCACACACUGGCUUCUUCCCACCUCAGUCUCAGAGGCCCUCGAUCUCUCUCCCAGCAGAGGCAGGAAAACCUGCCCCAGACACCCCUUUUCUUCCUUUUCUCCCCACAGCCGCCAUGCCAUCCCCUUCCCCAUGCUCCCCUCAUAGCCCAGGCCCGCCCUCACAUAGGGGCAACAUGGGGGAGCCGUGCACUGAUUGGCCUGCCCCUCCCUGAGGUGCUUCCUGAUUGGCUGCCCGCAGGGCCCUCCAUCCAAUCCCACGCCCAUCAGGUCCAGAAGCUUCUGGAACACUGUGAUCUCCCCCCAGAUACCCCCCUGUUUCCACAGAAACUGACCUGUGGGGCGGCUCCACAUCUGCAUCCACAUCAUAGGUGGAAAGAAGAAGGAGUGCUAUCUGCAGAAGAAAAGGAGGAGGGCAGCUUCAGUCAAGGCAUGGGCCCGCAGAGUUCAAACAAAGAAAGCUGAAGACCAAAGGGAAAAUGGCGUAAAAGAUCACGAGACCACAAAAUCUUCCAGACUGCCCUAAAAUGAGCACUCAAGUGCAAAAGUUAAGCAAGGAAGACACCAGGACUGAUGAAAUGGCAAUGCUCUAUUUAAAGACAGAGAGACCGCCUCAUGGUCUGCUUGUAUGCUGAUAAAAAGGAGACAAAAAGGUACAGUUAGAACAUAUUAUAUUAACCAUGUUAAAACUUUGGAAGGCUCCAGUC